GACGAACGCUGGCGGCGUGCCUAACACAUGCAAGUCAACUUGACUGAAGGAGCAAUCUGACAGUAGAGUGGCGCAAGGGUGCGUAACGCGUAAGUAACUUGCCCAAGGUAAGGAAUAACGUCGAGAAAUCGGCGCUAAUACCUCAUAAUGCAGCGGAUCCGCAUGGAUAUGUUGUUAAAGGUUUACCACCUUGGGAUAGGCUUGCGUCUGAUUAGCUAGUUGGUGUGGUAACGGCACACCAAGGCUACGAUCAGUAACUGGUCUGAGAGGAUGAUCAGUCACACUGGAACUGAGACACGGUCCAGACUCCUACGGGAGGCAGCAGUGAGGAAUAUUGGGCAAUGCUCGAAAGAGUGACCCAGCAACGCCGCGUGGAGGAUGAAGGUAUUCUAUAUCGUAAACUCCUGUGAGAGCAGACGAAAGACAGAUUAUUAAUCUGGAUGACUGUAUGCUCAGAGGAAGCCCCGG
rnacentral:rRNA from 1 species